CUUACACAUGCAAGUCGAACGGUAACAGGUCUUCGGAUGCUGACGAGUGGCGAACGGGUGAGUAAUACAUCGGAACGUGCCCGAGAGUGGGGGAUAACGAAGCGAAAGCUUUGCUAAUACCGCAUACGAUAUCAGGAUGAAAGCAGGGGACCGCAAGGCCUUGCGCUCACGGAGCGGCCGAUGGCAGAUUAGGUAGUUGGUGGGAUAAAAGCUUACCAAGCCGACGAUCUGUAGCUGGUCUGAGAGGACGACCAGCCACACUGGGACUGAGACACGGCCCAGACUCCUACGGGAGGCAGCAGUGGGGAAUUUUGGACAAUGGGCGCAAGCCUGAUCCAGCCAUGCCGCGUGCAGGAUGAAGGCCUUCGGGUUGUAAACUGCUUUUGUACGGAACGAAAAGACUCUGGUUAAUACCUGGGGUCCAUGACGGUACCGUAAGAAUAAGCACCGGCUAACUACGUGCCAGCAGCCGCGGUAAUACGUAGGGUGCGAGCGUUAAUCGGAAUUACUGGGCGUAAAGCGUGCGCAGGCGGUUAUGUAAGACAGAUGUGAAAUCCCCGGGCUCAACCUGGGAACUGCAUUUGUGACUGCGUAGCUAGAGUACGGCAGAGGGGGAUGGAAUUCCGCGUGUAGCAGUGAAAUGCGUAGAUAUGCGGAGGAACACCGAUGGCGAA
rnacentral:rRNA from 1 species